rnacentral:lncRNA from 1 species
UAAAAAUUGUUUUUACAGAACAUCGUUUAAUUGUACGAGUAUUUGCGUUCAUGCGUGCUUUUGCAAACCCUUCAAGCGCAAAUGUUCAUAAGCCAUUGCCGCCGUUUGUAGAAGCAUAGCUCAAGCGGCGUUACGCCUGAAAAGUGCGUUCUUUAAUUUUUUCAUUCAACUUUGACAAAAUUACAAUUAUAGCGAAUGCUAUAUAGUACAUAUUAUGUUGAAAGAAAAUGCAAAACGUCAAACGCGUGUUUAGCAAAUUGGUUAUCAUCAUUUAUUAACGAUCGAUAAACGGACCAUUCCCAAAUGUUACAUGCGUAUAAAGCAGGCAUCCCUUUAUCUUAUGUUAUAGAUAAAUCUCAAUAUCUGCGAUAGCUUCCUUGAUAACCAUUUAGAAUAAGGGACACUCGACCGAUUUUAACGAGCUUGAAAGAUGUUGUCAGGGUCAGCGAAUAAUUUUUCUCUAUACGCACAAUGAUACACAGAUUUGCAGUUAAAUCAAAUUCCAAAAAGCGCCAUGAAUUUUCAGAAUUUACGACUUCUUCAUCCGGAGGAAAUGUGACAAGUUACGCAAACAUACAGUGGCUCGCAUUAAUAUUCGGAUGCUCUUUAUAGCGGAAUAAUUUUUUGAAAAUGAAAGCAAGCUACUUGAGUUUCUUUGAGAAGUAAGACAAAUUAAUUUACUCGAUGACGCGUAAAAACACGUGUGGACAAAUUGCAAUUGAUUGGGUCGCACUUUAUAAUUUUUUAUCUGACUCUGUAAUGAAAGUUGGAACAAUAUGCUCUGUAGGUUUAUGUCAGUUACAUGUAUGCGUGCUAAAAAUUUAAUCGAGAUUGUUUUGACGCGAAAGGAAAAGACAGGCAUCGAAAGAUGCAAGAAUCUUUUAGAUUUAUUACAGUUUUAGAAAAGUUGUGAAAAGCUACAAUUUUUAUCGUUUUCAAUAAUUUGUAGCUCCGUUAGCGCUGUUAACCGUUAACGAAAAGUUGUUCCGUUUUAAAGGAAGUGCGAAUAUUAACGUGCGAGCAGCUGCUUAUUGAAAGGAAACGAUUAAGGUCACCGCGAAUUCAUAACUCUCGUUCGUAAUUGAAAAAUCGUUUAUCAGCUAUCGUAUCGCGCAGUUUGGAUUUAACGUGUUCGAAAACCGCCUAUAUAUAGAGAUUCGUGUAGAGUCGCGCAGUUACUCCGCAAUUGCAAGUUUCAGUUGAUACAAAUAUGAGUAUACGCGGAAUAUCCGCUUCUCUCAGUAAUCGAUAAAUCAACUUUCACAAAGCGCCAUGAAGAACCGGUUGAUAAGUGCAACAUUUGUCUGCAGUAUUCUCUUUGCGAUCCUUCUCGCCCACCUGCCGGUUACUUUAUCGAGUUCCGAAUCGAUCGAGGAUCAUCUGCCGAUAAUAGGCGCAGGGAUCAAAAUAUUGCUAAAAGACGUUGAUCGCCAGUUGAAAUGUCCCUUGUUUCACAUUGCUGUAAACAAUAAAUGCGUUAUGAUGGGUUAACGUUCAGAGCCUUGCAAUUUAUAUCAUAAACACGUACAUUUACGUACGUUUCUGUUUCUUCCGUUUUCGCUGUUCGACUUUCGGUUUGAAUCUUGAUCGACAUCAAUGCCGAAAGAUUCAAUGACCGUUGAUUAUUACCUCACUGAAUCUGUGUAUUCAGGACUUUGUUUGCUGUCAACUUGAAUUACAAAGAAUGUAUUCUAAUAAAUAAGAUAAUGAAAA